rnacentral:lncRNA from 1 species
UUUGACAUUUAUCAAGCGAGUUAGCCUAUUGGGCUAAUCCUGAGUUUAACCCAACAAUUCCGACUUUGAAGCGAUUCGGCGGUCUAAAGGUCGGGUCCGUAAAUGCGGGUUGGCGGUCCAAAGGUCGGGUUGACGGAUGCGGUCGAAAAUAAGUCAUGUAUUGGCAACAAUAAAUAUGUUGCAACGAAAUACAAUUUUGUGUAUGUUGCAACGACAUAAAUUCGUUGUUAUUAAUAAAUAUAUUGGCAACGAUAGAUUUGUGGCAACAAAAUAAAUUCAUUGGUAGUAAUCAAAGAAUUUGCAACGAUAAAUGUAU